rnacentral:lncRNA from 1 species
GGAACCAUCUGGAGGGAGCCCCAGACUGCAGUGCAGAGGCUCAGUGUGGGACUGAGCAUGGCUCAGUUUGCACAUGCCAGAAUCAACACUCAGCGACUGGAACGUGCUCAGAACCGCCUUGUAACAAUUCUCCAAAUGGCCUUUACCAGGCAUUAGCGUGGCCUUGUUUCCCUGAGCCAUAUGGGAGUUGUGUGGUUCUGGCUGGCAGAGGCUGCCCUUGGGUGGUCCUGCGAUGCUGGUGGUCUUGGCACGUGGAUUUCAGUCCUGGGAGAUCCAUUUGGCUGAGGACAGGUUUGGGGUUAAUCCAAGCGGAUCCUGUUACUCCUCUGAGUUCAUGAGGAUGCUGAAGCUUCCAGUUCUAACCUCCUUCUUGGAAGAAGCAAAGAAAGGACAAAAGAAUUUGAACAGUUCUUCCCGGGAUGGUAUUUCUAGGCAAAGAGAGCGCUGUCUCAUGAAAUCUGAAAAGCUGUUGCCAAUACUGACAGAUGCCAUAAGAAAGAAUCAGUGGAUGGACAAGUCAUAUGGAUAUGGUGGCUAUAGGGAAAAGAAUUGUAAAGGUCUUAGCAGUCUAUUUAAUUCAGUUAGUGGGGUUGAGCUGAGAAAAAAAAAAUGCUCCAAUUGAGUAACCUCAUAGCGUAUAUAGAGCAUGUUUCAAAAUACUGAUACUAGAAACAGACCUGUGCUUGAUGAGCUCCAGAUGAUACCACUGAUGUUAAUACAGAGAAAAAACCCAGCAUCCUCCCUCCUCCCUCUCCUUCUCCUGCCAGAAGUAAUCCAGAGAUUCUUGCACUGUUAAAGCUAUUAUGACAUAUUUUGGAACUAGCCAACAAAAAAAUUAUUCGUCUUCUCUUUCCUAUGAUGUUUACAAAUGUAUUUUGCAGUAGCUCUAAGUACAAGGCAGCUAGAAAACUUUCAGCAAUUUAUAUAAAUAAAUACUGUAGCAAAAAUCUUUGAAGUAGGAUA